GACGAACGCUGGCGGCGUGCUUCACACAUGCAAGUCGAACGGAAAGGCCCUGCUUUUGUGGGGUGCUCGAGUGGCGAACGGGUGAGUAACACGUGAGUAACCUGCCCUUGACUUUGGGAUAACUUCAGGAAACUGGGGCUAAUACCGGAUAGGAGCUCCUGCUGCAUGGUGGGGGUUGGAAAGUUUCGGCGGUUGGGGAUGGACUCGCGGCUUAUCAGCUUGUUGGUGGGGUAGUGGCUUACCAAGGCUUUGACGGGUAGCCGGCCUGAGAGGGUGACCGGCCACAUUGGGACUGAGAUACGGCCCAGACUCCUACGGGAGGCAGCAGUGGGGAAUAUUGCACAAUGGGCGGAAGCCUGAUGCAGCAACGCCGCGUGCGGGAUGACGGCCUUCGGGUUGUAAACCGCUUUCGCCUGUGACGAAGCGUGAGUGACGGUAAUGGGUAAAGAAGCACCGGCUAACUACGUG
rnacentral:rRNA from 1 species